AAACUAACAAGGAUUCCCCUAGUAACUGCGAGUGAAGCGGGAAAAGCUCAAAUUUAAAAUCUGGCGGUCUCCSGCCGUCCGAGUUGUAGUCUGGAGAAGCGCUUUCCGCGUUGGACCGUGUACAAGUUUCCUGGAACGGAGCGUCAUAGAGGGUGAGAAUCCCGUCUUUGACACGGACCCCAAUGCUUUGUGAUGCGCUCUCAAAGAGUCGAGUUGUUUGGGAAUGCAGCUCAAAAUGGGUGGUGAAUUCCAUCUAAAGCUAAAUAUUGGCGAGAGACCGAUAGCGAACAAGUACCGUGAGGGAAAGAUGAAAAGCACUUUGGAAAGAGAGUUAAACAGUACGUGAAAUUGUUGAAAGGGAAACGCUUGAAGUCAGUCGCGUCGGCCGGGACUCAGCCUUGCAUUCGCUUGGUGUACUUUCCGGUUGACGGGCCAGCAUCAGUUUUGACCGCGAGACAAAGGCGGAGGGAAUGUGGCUCUUUCGGGAGUGUUAUAGCCCUUCGUCGCAUGUCGCGGUUGGGACUGAGGACACGCAGCACGCCUUUAUGGCCGGGGUUCGCCCACGUACGUGCUUAGGAUGCUGGCGUAAUGGCUUUAAACGACCCGUCUUGAAACACGGACCAAGGAGUCUAACAUGCCUGCGAGUGUUCGGGUGGAAAACCCGUGCGCGUAAUGAAAGUGAAAGUUGGGAUCCCUGUCGUGGGGUGCACCGACGCCCGGACCAGACCUUUUGUGACGGAUCUGCGGUAGAGCAUGUAUGUUGGGACCCGAAAGAUGGUGAACUAUGCCUGAAUAGGGUGAAGCCAGAGGAAACUCUGGUGGAGGCUCGUAGCGAUUCUGACGUGCAAAUCGAUUGUCAAAUUUGGGUAUAGGGGCGAAAGACUAAUCGAACCAUCUAGUAGCUGGUCUUGN
rnacentral:rRNA from 1 species